UACAGAGGGUGCGAGCGUUGUCCGGAAUCACUGGGCGUAAAGGGCGCGUAGGCGGCUCGGUAAGCGUGCGGUGAAAGCCCGGGGCUCAACCCCGGGUCGGCCGUGCGAACUGCGGGGCUCGAGCACUGUAGAGGCAGGUGGAAUUCCGGGAGUAGCGGUGGAAUGCGUAGAGAUCCGGAAGAACACCGGUGGCGAAGGCGGCCUGCUGGGCAGUGACUGACGCUGAGACGCGACAGCGUGGGGAGCAAACAGG
rnacentral:rRNA from 1 species